rnacentral:rRNA from 1 species
GAGGACAACCUCAGGAAACUGAGGCUAAACCUUCAUACGUUCACUGGUAGGGAUACUGGUGAAGAAAGAGUUACCUUAGUGGUAGCUGCUGAAGGAUGAGCCUUCGGCCCAUCAGGUAGUUGGUGAGGUAACGGCUCACCAAGCCGAAGACGGGUAACCGGUCUGAGAGGAUGUCCGGUCACACUGGGACUGAGACACGGCCCAGACUCCUACGGGAGGCAGCAGCAGGGAAUCUUGGGCAAUGGGCGAAAGCCUGACCCAGCGACGCCGCGUGAAGGAAGAAGUCCUUCGGGGCGUAAACUCCUGGACUGGGGGACGAGGAAGGACGGUACCCCAGUAGAAAGGGACGGCUAACUACGUGCCAGCAGCCGCGGUAAAACGUAGGUCCCGAGCGUUGUUCGGAUUCACUGGGUGUAAAGGGCGCGUAGGUGGUUGUCUGUGUCUCAUGUGAAAACUCAGGGCUCAACUCUGAGAUUGCGUGGGAAACUAGGCAGCUAGAGGACGGUAGAGGGGAGUGGAAUUCCCGGUGUAGCGGUAAAAUGCGUAGAUAUCGGGAGGAACACCGGUGGCGAAGGCGGCUCUCUGGGCCGAUCCUGACGCUGAGGCGCGAAAGCUAGGGGAGCGAACCGGAUUAGAUACCCGGGUAGUCCUAGCCGUAAACGAUGGGUGCUAGGUGUUGGGGGGUAAAGACCCUUCAGUGCCGAAGCCAACGCGAUAAGCAUCCCACCUGGGGAGUACGGCCGCAAGGUUGAAACUCAAAUGAAUUGACGG